CUUUGACUUAGGGGAAGAAAAUGCGUCUCUUACUAACCAAAGAAGGGAAGUGAAAGAAGGAAAUCCCCAAAUCUGUUUUAAGGCACUGUCGAACCCCUAGCCCCAAAUCAAGAAUAUCAAAUACCCGACCACAAUUGAUCGCUCGCUGAGCCAAACCUAAGAGUGAAGAGGUAGCACCCAUUUCGUUUAAUUACAUUGAUGACGGAGCCAUUGGUGUGUAGAUGGAAGGAAAACAUGAAGGUAAAUCCCAAAUUGAUAUUUAUUUAUUUUUGGUAGGUAGAGGUGAUAGAGCUGCUAAAGAUUAUGUAGAUAAAUAUAAUUUUCCAUUAUCUAAAGUUUUUGUAGUUGAUUGCAUGAGUAUUUUCUUAUUCUCCAUUUUACCAAAUAUGUAUUGGUAAUGGCCACGGUCUGUCGAUCCCCUUAUUUUCUGUUCUUUAUGUCCUGAAUCGUAUGUUUUGUUUUAGUUCAUUACAUACCAUUGUCCUGUUCACCUUGGCUACACUCUGUUGUUCCAUUUUGUAAUCUGAUUAUCUGUAUUGUCUUCCACUGUUAUUUUCGAGUUUAGGCAAAAUUCAUUAAAUGAAGUCCUUGCCAAUGUAGUAAAGUGAUAAUAUCGACUAAAGUGUUAAAACAUAUAUGCACUACACAAUGUUGAAUCUUCAUCCUCAUAUAUUAGCUCAAUGUUGGUGUAAAGUCUGAUCAUUUGCAUGUAAUAUUGUUUAAUGUGGGUAACUAUAUCCUAGAUUGUGAAGAAGAUACGGAAUUCAUAGUUUCCGACCACGACUUUGAGUCCAAACAAGAUGACAUUGAAUAUGAUAGACAUGUAACUGAUGCGAUGGAAAUUGGAAUGGACAAUCGCUAAGAUGAAGUUCAGGUCUAACGAGAAGAGGGCAGUGAUAAUGAGUUGAAUGAAUUGGAACUACCAUCAUCAAGGGAACUACUGUCCCAAUGUUUAUCCGAUGAGGAUGGCAGCUGUCAUUUUCCUGAAUUCUCUAUUGAUCAAGAUAUGAAAAAUCCACAAUUGAGGUAGGGUAAAUAUCCGAUUCUGUUGCGGAGUUUCGUGAAGCGAUGCGAACAUACAGUGCAUUUAACGGGUACAACUUAAAGUUUAAGGCAAAUGAGGAAAGAUGAGUUCAAGGAAUUUGGAAAUUGGGCUACAAAUGGAGAAUAUGAGCUUCUAAAUUUGAUGUGUCCGAUAGGUUGCAAGUCAAAUCUUACACUUUGGAGCAUACUUUGUAGUUGAGAUUAGUUUAAUAGACAUUGCAAUUACAUAUUUUUGACACAUUGGUAUAUUGAGCAAUUUAAGACAAACCCGAAUUGGAAGAUCGAGCUUAUUUUGGCAACAGUGAAGAAGGAUCACCAAAUAGACAUUAGCAAGAAACGUAGCAUGAAAAAUGCGGAGAUACGCCAAAGAAGUUUUAGUAGAAAAUUUGCACGAACUGUUUAGGCAAUUGCAGUCUUAUGCAGCCGAGGUACUAAGUAUAAAUGUUGGCUCGACAGUCAUAAUUGCAUUACAGGAGCAUAUAUUUCAGGAGAUCUACACAUGCUUCAAUUGUUGUAAGAUAGGAUUGAGGGAUGGUUGUAGGAAGGUGUUAUGUAUUGAAGGUUGCCACUAAGGGGUGGUUUCACAAGGAUAAUGUUAACUGAAUUGGGGUUGAUGCUAAUGAUUGCAUCUAUCCCAUUGCAACUGCAGUUGUUUAGAAAGAAAAUACAGUUGCUUGGCGAUGGUUCUUAGCCUAUCUUUCAUAUGAUAUUAGGAUAGGAAAUUGGAGAGGUUGGACUCUUAUGACCGACAGGCAGAAGGGUCUACAAAAUGUCAUGGAUGAGUUGUCCCCUGAGGCUGAGCACAGGUUCUGUGUAAGGCAUAUGUAUACAAUUUUUUUCCGUCUAGGUUCAAGAGUAAAAUUCUGAAGAAUUACUUGUUGCGUGCUACAAAGUCAACCACCAUUGCUGACUACUGAAAUUGGAUGAAACAAAUUCGAUAACUUAGUGAGGAGGCAAACAAAUGGCUUAUGGAGAGCUAUUUACAAGAGUGGAGUAGAUCACAUUUCUCAGUUCAAUUGAAGAGUGACAUUUUCCUAAACAAUUUAUGCGAAGAUUUCAACAAGACUCUGUGGAUUGAUAGAGAAAAGAUGAUUUUGUUGAUGCUAACUUCACAACAUUUAACCUUCAUGAAUAGGAUUCGAAGGCAUCGAGACAUGAUGAGGUGCACGAACAAUUGUGUCCAAAGAUCAGGAAAAAAAUUACACAAAAUAGCAGAAAAAUUGCAUGAAUGCACAUUGCACAUUUUUGGUUAUCCAAAAUGACAAGUUGACUGCAGCUAUGGGACGUAUGUCGUCGACCUACAAGAAAGAACAUUUGCAUGUAGAGAAUGGAAGCUUACAUGCAUAUAUUGGAUCAUGCAAUGGCAGUAAUUGGGGAAUACAAAAAUGAUCCAAAAGAAUUCAUUGACAAUUGUUACACGAUUGAUAUGUAUAUAAGGUGCUACAAUAGUACCAUGAAUCCAAUUAAUGGUAACGGUAUGCGGUUAUAGGCAUGGUUGCAUAUGCUUGAUAUCAUUCUAUCAUCGUCGAUUGUGCCACGAACGGGACAGAGACGGAUAAAUUGGAGAAAAGGAACAGAUGAAGAUGUGAUCGUGCAUUCACAAGAGAUAACCUUAUUCGGAGAAAGGGACGAUUGAGAGUGACAUGCUCCUUAUGCGAAGAGCAGGGUCACAACAAGCAAUACCACUCUAGGCCAGAUACACCUGAUUUUGUGAGUUUGAUUUUACUUUUUAUAAAGUAUAAUUGUCUUCACAAUUUUACUAAAAUUUGAUUGUCCUGCAAAAUGCGAUGAAGCUGAAAUAAAUGUAUUCUGAUGGUUUAUUUUUUGUAUGGUAGGAUUUAUUUGAAGAACAUCUAGAAUCAGUUAGCACACACUGUGACACACACAUUUUGACAUAGCUGUCGACUAAUGGGUUAGUAAACUUCUCUUUUUAUUAUUUUAAGUCGUGCUCCUGAUAUUUGUUGCAUAAUGUUAGCUAUCUAAUUGUGUAAUGUACGCAGUAUAUAGAGCAG
rnacentral:lncRNA from 1 species